rnacentral:rRNA from 1 species
CGUACACUCCUGCGGGAGGCAGCAGUGGGGAAUUUUGGACAAUGGGCGAAAGCCUGAUCCAGCCAUGCCGCGUGCAGGAUGAAGGCCUUCGGGUUGUAAACUGCUUUUGUACGGAACGAAACGGCCUUUUCUAAUAAAGAGGGCUAAUGACGGUACCGUAAGAAUAAGCACCGGCUAACUACGUGCCAGCAGCCGCGGUAAUACGUAGGGUGCAAGCGUUAAUCGGAAUUACUGGGCGUAAAGCGUGCGCAGGCGGUUAUGUAAGACAGUUGUGAAAUCCCCGGGCUCAACCUGGGAACUGCAUCUGUGACUGCAUAGCUAGAGUACGGUAGAGGGGGAUGGAAUUCCGCGUGUAGCAGUGAAAUGCGUAGAUAUGCGGAGGAACACCGAUGGCGAAGGCAAUCCCCUGGACCUGUACUGACGCUCAUGCACGAAAGCGUGGGGAGCAAACAGGAUUAGAUACCCUAGUAGUCCCAUG